rnacentral:rRNA from 1 species
CCUACGGGUGGCAGCAGUAGGGAAUAUUGCUCAAUGGGGGAAACCCUGAAGCAGCAACGCCGCGUGGAGGAUGAAGGUUUUCGGAUUGUAAACUCCUUUUGUUAGAGAAGAUAAUGACGGUAUCUAACGAAUAAGCACCGGCUAACUCCGUGCCAGCAGCCGCGGUAAUACGGAGGGUGCACGCGUUACUCGGAAUCACUGGGCGUAAAGAGCGCGUAGGCGGGAUAGCAAGUCAGAUGUGAAAUCCUAUGGCUUAACCAUAGAACUGCAUUUGAAACUGUUAUUCUAGAGUAUGGGAGAGGUAGGUGGAAUUCUUGGUGUAGGGGUAAAAUCCGUAGAGAUCAAGAGGAAUACUCAUUGCGAAGGCGACCUGCUGGAACAUUACUGACGCUGAUGCACGAAAGCGUGGGUAGCAAACAGGAUUAGAUACCCUAGUAGUC